GCCAGAGUGGUGUAGUGGUUAGAGUAUUGGACUAGGACUGGGGGAAUCAGGGUUCAAAUCCCUGCUCAGCCA